rnacentral:rRNA from 1 species
AGUCACUGACAUUAGAUACCCGUGUAGUCCAGGGUGUAAACGCUGCAGACUUGGUGUUGGAAGCCCUUUGGGGCAUUCAGUGCCGGAGAGAAGUUGUUAAGUCUGCUACUUGGGGAGUACGUCCGCAAGGAUGAAACUUAAGGAAUUGGCGGGGAGCACCGCAACGGGAGGAGCGUGCGGUUUAAUUGGAUUCAACACCGUAAAACUCACCAGGGAAGACUGUUACAUGAAGGCCGAGAUGAAGACUCUGCUAGAUUUUCAG